UAUAUGCCAUUCAUGGUAGAUUCUCAGAGAAAUCCGAUGUAUAUAGCUUCAGAGUCCUGUUAUAAGAGAUUUUAAGCGGAAGACACUGCACCAGUUUCCAUCCCGACGAUCAGACCUUGAGUCUUCUAGGAUUCGCUUGGAAAUCGUGGACUGAGGAGAACAUGGCAGCUUUCGUCGACCCGGUGAUAUAUGCCCCAAGUGAUGAAAUUGCCAUUUUAAGGUGUAUUCAUGUGGGAUUGUUGUGCGUGCAAGAACAUAUGCGAGAUAGGCCAUCCAUGUCAACUGUCAUAUCGAUGCUUAAUAGUGAAAUUCUCGACCUUCCUAGCCCGAAGCAACCGGCAUUCACAAGCACUCAGGCUGAUGUUUAUACUCAACAGGAUCAGAAGCCGUGUUCUGUUAACAAUCUAACUGUUACAAUUGUCGAACCUCGAUAAAAGCAGGAAAUUACUGGGAAUUGUACAUGUAAUUCGGCAUGAAUCAUUGUUCUUCAAAUUUAUGUACGAGUGCUUUCUUUAAAAACUUAUCCGUCAAACAGACACAUCUGUAAGUAAUUCACGCAGAAUAGCAAUUAUUGCAAAGUAGUAAUCUACUGAGUGAU